CUCCUUCCGGUCGACAAGAAAAAAAAGUCUCAUCGACCGGAAAGGAUUCCUUCCGGUCGAUGAGGUAAAUACCUCAUUGACCGGAAGGAAUCCCUUCCGGCCGAUGAGGGUGUUACACCUCAUCGACCGGAAGGAU
rnacentral:miRNA from 1 species